GAUACGUUGAGCUAACCGAUACUAAUGAACCGUGAGGCUUAACCUUACAACGCCGAAG
rnacentral:rRNA from 1 species